GAUAUGGACCCAACAGUAAGAAAGCUAAGGAAACACCUAGGUGGUGGAGUGCGUGCUGAGCACGGGAGAGAAUUCGGCUUCAGUCUCCGUACUGUGGUUCAAUUUUGCCAUCAGAUCGCGUGUCCUGAUGCCUGCCUUGGAGAAUUUGCGGCUCUACUGGUGACCGUGAGAUGAGCUGACUGUGGCAGGCGCAUUGUUUUUACUGAGUCCCUGUACCUGGUGCAGGAUGGUGGCACAGAGGAUGACUGAAGCCAGAACGGUUAAGCACACAAAGGAAAAUCUCUAGCUCUGUUCUGCUUCCUUGGAAACCAGUUCCUGGAUGAGAUGGAGCAGCUGAGGCCCAGUCGCAGAGGCCACAAAAGCAGCCAUGCCAUGAUGGAGAACCACACCUUGCAGGUGGGGGCACUCCACUUGAAGAGCUAAGAAAGCUAGUGGCGUGGCAUGACUGUAGGUGUCCGAAAGAUUUCUGUGCUUGUUCCCAGGGAAUAAAUUGAGGUAAGGUGGACGAGAUGGUCCAAGGGAGCAAUUAUUUCACGAGAGAAGAAAGAAGGGAGAGGAAGGAACAGCCUGAAGGAGCAUUGGUGAUGUACUGACUAACUGGGUGUUUCCCCAAUUUCUGGUCUCUUAGCCAGAUAGGGAUGUUCCGAUCACAGCCUGAACACAUCCCGCACCUCUUCUAGAACGAACAAAAUACCCGAGGUGGAGGAUCCAGCUUUCUCUAGCAUUUUUUUUUUUAAUUUACUUAAAAUAAAACCUGGUUCCAUGGGCAGCCUCCUAACCUGUGAAGUAAAGAAACUCCCUUUUAAAAUGAGUACCCCAUAAUGUCUUUCAUUAUAGUAACAAAGAGGACCAGUACACUUAAAGGCACACAGGCAUUAGUGGGGCCCCUCGGAGUACACACCGUGCGAAAUACCCCAAUUGUACUAUUCAAAGCGCAACGCUGAGCCGCUCUGUGCGUACAGAGUGUACUUUGGCUUCUCGUUACCAUUAAUUGCCAUCCCGAUCACCUGCAGGUUGAUUUUGCGAAUACCUCUUUGAAUCAGGGGCAUUUCUCUCUCGAGAAGAUUUGCUAUUGUAUAAGAGAAACAAAACAAACAACCGAAGCCUUCUCCAAUUUAGUCACAGUAGGCACCGAAUCACAGUAGCCUCCCAAAGCUUGCAAAAGGCGGUGUUGUACCAACCAGCUUUCGAAGACUCAAACGGAGGGGACGUCCUCGAGAAAGGCUGGGGGGUGGGGCAUCGUUAAUACCGCUAUGGUCUUGGUGCUGUUUGGGCACAACAUCGCAGAGACUGGUAGAAGAUUUUUAUGUAAUAUGCCACAUUUCUUUGGGCUAGAUGGAGGGAACGGUGGCUGUCUUCACUGUGAGGAAACCAGGGCGUAUACUCCCUGUGUGUCCACUGUUUUCUGUUUCCGCUGUCUCUCCAGGGCAGAGCUGAUUUAGUGGAGCCUGCAGAUGGAUGCCCCGAGAGGGAGGCAGGAGAGUGUGAUCGCCUCGAUCACCAGCGGUCAACAAAUGUUCUUCCCAGAGAUACUGAAGGGAAAGGAACACCUCAUCUUCCGGGGUGCGGCUGCUUCCGCGUAUUGACAGGGGAAGACUAAAAACCAUCAGCAUCUUACUAAAAAAGUUGAGAAAAACUUGCGAGCUACUGUUUAACCGAGAACGAAGAGCAGCGACAGAUUAGCACGGUUUUGUGGGAUACAAGCCAGCUGUGAGGGAAGAUGGGAAGGCUGCAAAACAAUGACAGCUAAAGCAACGCAACAAUGCAACUUGGGAACAGCAGUGGAAAACAACCUCUGAUAAUAACGCAGUUAUUUUUGUCUGUAUUUCUCAUAACUAGCUAAAGAGUCUGGCGAGCAUGUUCUGGCAUAUUCUAGACGAGCUACUUCACAGUUAGAACACACACACACAUACACACAUGCACGCAUACCCACCCACCCUCUGAAUCAUGUUUUCUUUUAUAAUUUCUUCUCUUAAAAGCAAUUGUGCUUGCCUUACAGAGCUUGUAACACAAUUCUUCUAUUCAAAGCAAUUGCUUGCCUUCCAGAGCUUGUAACGCAAUUCUACUCUCCUGAGUUCUGAGGCCUCGGAGUACCUGCACGGAGGUCCUUUUGUGGUAGUCAUUCAGUCAGCAGCUGCACUUGGGAAUUUUCUGCUACCCACAGCAUCUGCUGAGGACACCCUGGCUGGGUUCUGUUGAGGCAAUCACCACGUUUCCCGAGCUGACUGGGCAGUUUGAAAACCAAACUCAAGGACGUUUGUGCAGAAGCUUAAUUGAGCGAGCCAGAUGUUUCCUCUAGAGAGUCAAAUGGAAAUAUUUCACAGUCAGUGGAUCUUUGUGAGCACAGCCAAGGUCAAGGAAAGGAGCACCUACAUGGAUGCUACAGGAUGGCAGAGUUAUCUGCUAUUUAAGCUACAGGAUAGCGAGGCCACUUCAUCUGCAGAAGGAGGGAGUAUAAAGAGAGGAAUCAGUCUAGA